rnacentral:rRNA from 1 species
AUGAACGCUGGCGGCGUGCCUAAUACAUGCAAGUCGAGCGAACAGACGAGGAGCUUGCUCCUCUGAUGUUAGCGGCGGACGGGUGAGUAACACGUGGAUAACCUACCUAUAAGACUGGGAUAACUUCGGGAAACCGGAGCUAAUACCGGAUAACAUGUUGAACCGCAUGGUUCAACAGUGAAAGACGGUCUUGCUGUCACUUAUAGAUGGAUCCGCGCCGCAUUAGCUAGUUGGUAAGGUAACGGCUUACCAAGGCAACGAUGCGUAGCCGACCUGAGAGGGUGAUCGGCCACACUGGAACUGAGACACGGUCCAGACUCCUACGGGAGGCAGCAGUAGGGAAUCUUCCGCAAUGGGCGAAAGCCUGACGGAGCAACGCCGCGUGAGUGAAGAAGGUCUUCGGAUCGUAAAACUCCGUUAUUAGGGAAGAACAAAUGUGUAAGUAACUAUGCACGUCUUGACGGUACCUAAUCAGAAAGCCACGGCUAACUACGUG